UGGUGGAGUGAUUUGUCUGGUUAAUUCCGAUAACGAACGAGACUCUAGCCUGCUAAAUAGACGGGCGAUCCCUUCGUGGGUCGACCCGAUUUGCUUCUUAGGGGGGCAAGUGGCGUUCCUAGCCACGCGAAAUUGAGCAAUAACA
rnacentral:rRNA from 1 species